UGGGGAAUUUUGCGCAAUGGGCGGAAGCCUGACGCAGUAACGCCGCGUGGAGGAUGAAGGCCUUCGGGUCGUAAACUCCUGUCAGGGGGAAAGACAACUAUGUGUCAAAUAAACACAUGGUUAGACGGUACCCCCAAAGGAAGCCCCGGCUAAUUCCGUGCCAGCAGCCGCGGUAAUACGGAAGGGGCAAGCGUUGUUCGGAAUCAUUGGGCGUAAAGGGCGCGUAGGCGGUCUUGUUUGUCUGCUGUGAAAGUCCACGGCUCACCCGUGGAGAGUCGGUGGAAACGGCAAGACUUGAGGCUGGGAGGGGUUGGUGGAAUUCCCUGUGUAGCGGUGAAAUGCGUAGAUACGGGGGAGAACACUCGUGGCGAAGGCGGCCAGCUGGCCCAGUCCUGACGCUGAGGCGCGACAGCGUGGGGAGCAAACAGGAUUAGAUACCCUGGUAGUCCACGCCGUAAACGAUGGGCACUAGGUGUCGGCGGUUUUGAGUCCGUCGGUGCCGGCGCUAACGCAGUAAGUGCCCCGCCUGGGGAGUACGGUCGCAAGGCUGC
rnacentral:rRNA from 1 species